rnacentral:lncRNA from 1 species
AGUCCUUCGCCGUCCCUCGCCGUCCUUCGCCAUCGCACGCCACCGCACCCCAUCUCUCGAAAUCUGCAGACAUCUUGAUUUUUCCCACGCUGUCUGUCAGGUCUCCGCCGCCACUCGACGCCAGGGCGCCGGGCCUUGUGGGCUGUGCUGCACCUCGGACGGCUUCGCACCAGCCAGCGCCCUCUCUCUCCUGCAGCACUCUGAUCUGCACCCCCUGAGGGGCUUCCACUGUCCGCGGGGUGAGAAUGCCCCUGGGAGUGUCACAUGACUGCCGCCCCAUGUGUGUGAGAGGCGUCCUCUGGGAGAGCAUGGAUCCUGAGGUCCCAGGAACAUCCCGAGAGCCAAGUUCCCAGAUGCCAGCCAAGGGCCAUCUGACCUGUUUUGAAUCUCAAUUUCCUGAUACAGAAAACAAAGGAUUGUCAGCUGACCUCUGUCCUGUGUGCCCAGUGGCCCCAGGUGACGUGUCUUCAAGAAGAGGCUGAGCUGCGGUGCUUGUAAGAUGGGUCUGCUGUGUGCAGAGGCUCCAUGGGAUGUGUUGUCUUCAUAGUAGCAGGGCGCUGGACCAUGGGUCCGCAAGGUCUCAGCCUUAGAUCCAAGGACAGUCCAAGGAAGUCCUAAGACCAUGGAGUUGGUGAUCUGGGAUCUGGGUUUGCUGAUAUUUCUCACCGUGAAUCUCUUGGUGGUGUUUGUGGGCACGAGAGGGGCAGAGAAUGGAGAGUGAGGCUACCACAUGAAGCGUCACCAGAGCUGCUCCCUGCUGCCUGCUCAGAGCACCCCGGAUCCACUGUUCAAUCUGCACAAGAUUCGGGGUCCAGACAUGGGAGACUUCAGCUGCCUCAGAGGACCGUGGACAGGGAAGGCCAGCCUCGCAUCCCUCUGUCCAUGCCUGGAAUGACUUUAAUAACCAAGAGUUUUAUUUUUGAAUUUGUAGCUGUCGUUCACUUUUUACCCACCCAUUCAAUAAACCUUACAGAAUUGCUCCA